rnacentral:rRNA from 1 species
AGAGUUUGAUCCUGGCUCAGGAUGAACGCUGGCGGCGUGCCUAACACAUGCAAGUCGAACGUGAAAUCCAUGAUGAUUACUUCGGUUUGAUUCAUGGGUGGAAAGUGGCGAACGGGUGAGUAACACGUAGGUAACCUGCCCUGAGGAAGGGGACAACCAUUGGAAACGAUGGCUAAUACCCUGUAGUCCUGCCGAUUUUGGCAAUCGGUAGGUAGAGCUCCGGCGCCUCAGGAGGGGCCUGCGGUCGAUUAGCUAGUUGGUGAGGUAAUGGCUUACCAAGGCUGUGAUCGAUAGCUGGUCUGAGAGGAUGAUCAGCCACAUUGGGAUUGAGACACGGCCCAGACUCCUACGGGGGGCAGCAGUGAGGAAUAUUGCGCAAUGGGGGCAACCCUGACGCAGCAACGCCGCGUGGAGGACGAAUGUCUUCGGAUUGUAAACUCCUUUUCUAGGGGAAGAGCAAGGACGGUACCCUAGGAAUAAGUCACGGCUUACUACGUGCCGGCAGCCGCGGUAAUACGUAGGUGGCAAGCGUUAUCCGGAAUUACUGGGCGUAAAGCGCACGCAGGCGGCUAGCCAAGUCUGGCGUGAAAGCUCCCGGCUUAACUGGGAGAGGUCGUUGGAAACUAGCUAGCUUGAGGCAAUGAGAGGGGGGCGGAAUUCCCGGUGUAGUGGUGGAAUGCGUAGAUAUCGGGAGGAACACCAGUGGCGAAAGCGGCUCCCUGGCAUUGGCCUGACGCUCAUGUGCGAAAGCGUGGGUAGCGAACGGGAUUAGAUACCCCGGUAGUCCACGCUGUAAACGAUGAGUACUAGGUGUAGGCAGUAUCGACCCUGUUUGUGCCGAAGCUAACGCGAUAAGUACUCCGCCUGGGGACUACGGCCGCAAGGCUAAAACUCAAAGGAAUUGACGGGGACCCGCACAAGCAGCGGAGCGUGUGGUUUAAUUCGAUCAACGCGAAGAACCUUACCUGGGCUUGACAUGUACGUAGUAGUGAAGCGAAAGCGGAACGACCCCUCGGGGAGCGUACACAGGUGCUGCAUGGCUGUCGUCAGCUCGUGUCGUGAGAUGUUGGGUUAAGUCCCGCAACGAGCGCAACCCCUGUCGCUAGUUACAAGUGUCUAUCGAGACUGCCGGUAUCAAGUCGGAGGAGGGUGGGGAUGACGUCAAGUCAGCAUGGCCUUUAUGUCCAGGGCUACACACACGCUACAAUGGGCAGUACAAUGGGCCGCGAAGGGGUGACCUGGAGCUAAUCCCAGCAAAGCUGCUCGUAGUUCGGAUUGCAGGCUGCAACUCGCCUGCAUGAAGUCGGAGUUGCUAGUAAACGUAGGUCAGCCAUACUACGUUGAAUACGUUCCCGGGUCUUGUACACACCGCCCGUCACGUCAUGGAAGUCGGUAACACCUGAAGUCGGUGACCCAACCGCAAGGAGGGAGCUGCCUAGGGUGGGGCUGAUGACUGGGACGAAGUC